CUAACCUUCUUUCCCCACUUACACAGCCAUUGUCACCAUCGCACCACUACUAUCAUCAUCACCACCACCAUCAUCACACCACCACCACCACCAUCAUCACUAUCAUCAUCACACCACCACCACCACCAUCAUCACUAUCAUCAUCACACCAUCACCACCACCAUCAUCACACCACCACCACCACCAUCAUCACUAUCAUCAUCAUCACCACACCACCACCAUCACCACCACCACCAUCACACCACCACCACCACUGUCGUCAUCACUAUCAUCAUCAUCACACCACCACCACCAUCAUCACACCACCACCACCACCACCGUCGUCAUCACUAUCAUCAUCAUCAUCACACCGCCACCAUCACCACCACCACCAUCACACCACCACCACCACCACCACCGUCACCAUCACUAUCAUCAUCAUCACACCACCACCACCACCACCAUCAUCACUAUCAUCAUCAUCAUCACCACACCACCACCAUCACCACCACCACCAUCACACCACCACCACCACUGUCACCACCACCACCACCACCAUCACACCACCACCACCGCCACCGUCGUCAUCACUAUCAUCAUCAUCAUCACACCACCACCAUCACCACCACCAUCACACCACCACCACCACUACUGUCAUCACUAUCAUCAUCAUCACACCACCACCAUCACCAUCAUCACACCACCACCACCAUCACCAUCACCAUCAUCACACCACCACCACCAUCACACCACCACCACCAUCAUUAUCAUCACCAUCAUCACACCACCACCACCACCAUCACCAUCACCAUCAUCACACCACCACCACCAUUACCAUCACCAUCAUCACACCACCACCACCACCAUUACCAUCACCAUCAUCACACCACCACCAUUACCAUCACCAUCAUCACACCACCACCACCACCAUUACCAUCACCAUCAUCACACUACCACCACCAUUACCAUCACCAUCAUCACACUACCACCAUCAUUACCAUCACCAUCAUCACACCACCACCACCAACAUUACCAUCACCAUCAUCACGCCACCACCACCACCAUUACCAUCACCACCAUCACACCACCACCACCACCAUCACCAUCAUCACACCACCACCACCACCAUCACCAUCAUCACACCACCACCACCACCAUUACCAUCACCAUCAUUACACCACCCCCACCAUUACCAUCACCAUCAUCACACCACCACCACCACCAUUACCAUCACCAUCAUCACACCCCCACCAUCAUUACCAUCACCAUCAUUACACCACCACCAUCAGUACACCACCACCACCAUUACCAUCACCAUCAUCACAUCACCACCACCAUCACACCAUCACUAUAAUUACCACCACCAUUAUCACAUCACCACCAUUAUCAUCACCAUCAUCAACAUCAUACCACCACCAUCAUCAUCACAUCCUCUUCCUUGAUGUCUUAUCUCCAUGGCGUGUACACUGGAUGUAGAAUAUAGUCUUGCUGGGUACUACGGGAGCUGUAUCUCAGUAGAAGGAAUGAAGACUAGCUCUUGAUAAGCUGAAAAUCCCUUAAUAGCCUACAUUCUAAAUACGCAUAUUCAUUGUACCAGGGGUUUCUAACCUUGCUUUGAUGAUAUCCUAGUGUCACUGUCUCAAAACCAAAUUAAUUUUGGACUUGAGUAUUUAGCGUUGGGAGAAGGAGUAGGAUUGUAUAUUAUUAUAA
rnacentral:lncRNA from 1 species